UACGAAGGUCCCAAGCGUUGUUCGGAAUCACUGGGCGUAAAGGGAGCGUAGGCGGCGUGGUAAGUCAGAUGUGAAAUCCCGGGGCUCAACCCCGGAACUGCAUCCGAUACUGCCAUGCUAGAGGAUUGGAGAGGUAGCUGGAAUUCUCGGUGUAGCAGUGAAAUGCGUAGAUAUCGAGAGGAACACUCGUGGCGAAAGCGAGCUACUGGACAAUUCCUGACGCUGAGGCUCGAAGGCUAGGGUAGCGAAAGGG
rnacentral:rRNA from 1 species